rnacentral:lncRNA from 1 species
CUAGGUCAAGGUCUUGUUGCUGGUUUAGAUUGUAUUUUUUUUCUAGUUUGUGUUAAUCUCUCCACCCACUGCCAUCCCGUAUCACGAUCCGUUUGCAUAUUCUGUCCAUUAAAACCCUAAUUCGAGCAGUUUUCUUAAAACUGUCAUAACUUUUACAUCCGAUCUCGAAAUGGGGUAAUUUUAUAUCUACGGAGACUGCCAAAAAAUUUUAGAUCUGUUUUAUCCUAGCAAAGUUGCGUUCGUAAAAAUUAGUUUUGCGAAAUUCGAUCAGGAAAAUCGCGUUUUUGGGCCUACAAGUUUUGGUAUGCUUUUUGGAGCACAAUUCUAGUUUUCUAUAGGCCACAUCUUUUUUCCAAUUGAGCUCAAUUUUUUUGUAGUUUGUCCUUGUGUGCUUCUUGCUGAGGAAAAAAUAUCAAAGAGCAAAAGCAAGAAAAAAGUUUGGAGAAAAAAGAAAAAAAUAGUAAAAAAAGAGGAGAUCG